rnacentral:tmRNA from 1 species
GGGGGCGUCACGGCUUCGACGUGGUCGUCUACAGGGACGGGUUGCGAGCCGAGGAUGUCGGUUGGCCUCGUAAAAGAACCCGGCACCAUGAACUGCGAAGUCCGACACGGACAUCGCCUUCGCCGCCUAGGCAACUAGGUCCGCGAAACGCCCUCGUCCCCUGGGCCCGUGGGGGGCGAUCGGCGUAAAGCAACGGGCUUGUCCCCCGGCGGAGUGACGCGCCAGCGGGGGAGACACCAUGCGUCUGGCCCGAGAUACGCCGGCCCGCAGAGCCGACUCGGGUGAGAUCGAUCAGCGGGCUACGCUCGUAGACGCCCGUUCCGAGCGGUCGCGGACCCGGGUUCGACUCCCGGCGCCUCCAUCA